rnacentral:misc_RNA from 1 species
UACGAAAGGUGCAAGCGUUAAUCGGAAUUACUGGGCGUAAAGGGCGCGUAGGCGGCGUGCACAGUCGACUGUGAAAGCCCCGGGCUCAACCCGGGAAUUGCAUCCGAUACUGGCCCGCUAGAGUGCAGUAGAGGGAGGUAGAAUUCCAGGUGUAGCGGUGAAAUGCGUAGAGAUCUGGAGGAAUACCAGUGGCGAAGGCGGCCUCCUGGACUGACACUGACGCUGAGGCGCGAAAGCGUGGGUAGCAAACAGG